AUCGCUUCUCGGCCUCUUGGCUCAGAUCAAGUGUAGUAUCUGUUCUUAUCAGUUUAAUAUCUGAUACGUCCCCCAUAGGAUGAUGAACAUUAUUUAAUUAUAACAUUAAUUAUAUAAAUGUCAUUUUAGCAUGCAUGUUAUACUAUAAGAUAAUGUGCCAUGUGAAUGCUGUCUCUUGUGGUAUAAGAGAU